rnacentral:rRNA from 4 species
AAAACUUUCAACAACGGAUCUCUUGGUUCUGGCAUCGAUGAAGAACGCAGCGAAAUGCGAUAAGUAAUGUGAAUUGCAGAAUUCAGUGAAUCAUCGAAUCUUUGAACGCACAUUGCGCCCGGCAGUAAUCUGCCGGGCAUGCCUGUCCGAGCGUCAUUU